ACACAUGCAAGUCGAACGCCUGUAGCAAUACAGGAGUGGCGCACGGGUGAGUAACGCGUGGGAACCUGCCCUGGAGUGGGGGAUAACCGAGAGAAAUUUCGGCUAAUACCGCAUACGUCCUGAGGGAGAAAGAUUUAUCGCUCUAGGAGGGGCCCGCGUCGGAUUAGCUAGUUGGUGGGGUAACGGCCUACCAAGGCAACGAUCCGUAGCUGGUCUGAGAGGAUGAUCAGCCACACUGGGACUGAGACACGGCCCAGACUCCUACGGGAGGCAGCAGUGGGGAAUAUUGGACAAUGGGGGAAACCCUGAUCCAGCAAUGCCGCGUGAGUGAUGAAGGCCUUAGGGUUGUAAAGCUCUUUCGGCGGGGACGAUGAUGACGGUACCCGCAGAAGAAGCCCCGGCUAACUUCGUGCCAGCAGCCGCGGUGAUACGUAGGGUCCGAGCGUUGUCCGGAAUUAUUGGGCGUAAAGGGCUUGUAGGCGGUUUGUUGCGUCGGAAGUGAAAACUCAGGGCUUAACCCUGAGCCUGCUUCCGAUACGGGCAAACUAGAGGGAUGCAGGGGAGAAUGGAAUUCCUGGUGGAGCGGUGGAAUGCGCAGAUAUCAGGAGGAACACCGGUGGCGAAGGCGGUUCUCUGGGCAUUUCCUGACGCUGAGAAGCGAAAGCGUGGGGAGCAAACAGGCUUAGAUACCCUGGUAGUCCACGCCCUAAACGAUGUCAACUGGUUGUUGGGUCUUCACUGACUCAGUAACGAAGCUAACGCGUGAAGUUGACCGCCUGGGGAGUACGGCCGCAAGGUUGAA
rnacentral:rRNA from 1 species